rnacentral:rRNA from 1 species
CCAAUAGCGUAUAUUAAAGUUGUUGCAGUUAAAAAGCUCGUAGUUGAAUUUCGAGAUCAAAUUGUUGGUCGUGCCUCGGUACGUACUGGCAUUAUUGAUUUCUCCCUUCUGAAGAACCACGAUGUCAUUAAUUUGGUGUCGUGGGGAAUCAGGACUGUUACUUUGAAAAAAUUAGAGUGUUUAAAGCAGGCUCACGCUUGAAUACAUUAGCAUGGAAUAAUGAAAUAGGACGUUUGAUUCUAUUUUGUUGGUUUCUAGGAUCGACGUAAUGAUUAAUAGGGAUAGUUGGGGGCAUUAGUAUUCAAUUGUCAGAGGUGAAAUUCUUGGAUUUAUUGAAGACUAACUACUGCGAAAGCAUUUGCCAAGGAUGUUUCCAUUAAUCAAGAACGAAAGUUAGGGGAUCGAAGACGAUCAGAUACCGUCGUAGUCUUAACCAUAAACUAUGCCGACUAGGGAUCGGAUGAUGUUAAUUUUUUAAUGACUCAUUCGGCGCCUUACG